GAUGAAGAACGUAGCGAAAUGCGAUAAGUAAUGUGAAUUGCAGAAUUCAGUGAAUCAUCGAAUCUUUGAACGCACAUUGCGCCCGCCAGUAUUCUGGCGGGCAUGCCUGUCCGAGCGUCAUUUCAACCCUCGAACCCCUCCGGGGGGUCGGCGUUGGGGAUCGGGAACCCCUAAGACGGGAUCCCGGCCCCGAAAUACAGUGGCGGUCUCGCCGCAGCCUCUCCUGCGCAGUAGUUUGCACAACUCGCACCGGGAGCGCGGCGCGUCCACGUCCGUAAACCACCCAACUUUCUGAAAUGUUGACCUCGGAUCAGGUAGGAAUACCCGCUGAACUUAAGCAUAUCAAUAAGCGGAGGA
rnacentral:misc_RNA from 1 species